AACGAACGCUGGCGGCAUGCCUAACACAUGCAAGUCGAACGAGACCUUCGGGUCUAGUGGCGCACGGGUGCGUAACGCGUGGGAACCUGCCCUUAGGUUCGGAAUAACUCCCCGAAAGGGGUGCUAUUACCGGAUAAUGUCUUCGGACCAAAGAUUUAUCGCCUUUGGAUGGGCCCGCGUUGGAUUAGCUAGUUGGUAGGGUAAAAGCCUACCAAGGCGACGAUCCAUAGCUGGUCUGAGAGGAUGAUCAGCCACACUGGGACUGAGACACGGCCCAGACUCCUACGGGAGGCAGCAGUGGGGAAUAUUGGACAAUGGGCGAAAGCCUGAUCCAGCAAUGCCGCGUGAGUGAUGAAGGCCUUAGGGUUGUAAAGCUCUUUUAACCGGGAUGAUAAUGACAGUACCGGGAGAAUAAGCUCCGGCUAACUCCGUG
rnacentral:rRNA from 1 species